rnacentral:hammerhead_ribozyme from 1 species
GUACUGCUGAGGAGUCCCACAAUAGGACAAAACGACCGUCUAGUGU